AUUGAACGCUGGCGGCAGGCCUAACACAUGCAAGUCGAGCGGAUGAAGGGAGCUUGCUCCUGGAUUCAGCGGCGGACGGGUGAGUAAUGCCUAGGAAUCUGCCUGGUAGUGGGGGAUAACGUCCGGAAACGGGCGCUAAUACCGCAUACGUCCUGAGGGAGAAAGUGGGGGAUCUUCGGACCUCACGCUAUCAGAUGAGCCUAGGUCGGAUUAGCUAGUUGGUGGGGUAAAGGCCUACCAAGGCGACGAUCCGUAACUGGUCUGAGGGGAUGAUCAGUCACACUGGAACUGAGACACGGUCCAGACUCCUACGGGAGGCAGCAGUGGGGAAUAUUGGACAAUGGGCGAAAGCCUGAUCCAGUCAUGCCGCGUGUGUGAAGAAGGUCUUCGGAUUGUAAAGCACUUUAAGUUGGGAGGAAGGGCAGUAAGUUAAUACCUUGCUGUUUUGACGUUACCAACAGAAUAAGCACCGGCUAACUUCGUG
rnacentral:rRNA from 1 species